UGAGUGUGAUCAAUAUGAGAAAUCACUUGAUGUCUUCUCAUUCAUCAGUAGUCUUCUCGAUGCUGUAGUGGUGUAAAUGGUCCUUUGACCUGCAGUGUCAUUGGCUAUUUAUAGAAAGGCUACUAAGUUUGACUACAUAUUUUCUUGAUUUCUAGCCAUUCGGAUCCUUGUUGCAUAUGUUAGUUACAGUAGGUUUAGGUUCGCUGUUAGAGUAGGAUGCACCU
rnacentral:lncRNA from 1 species